CCUACGGGAGGCAGCAGUGAGGAAUAUUGGUCAAUGGACGAGAGUCUGAACCAGCCAAGUAGCGUGAAGGAUGACUGCCCUAUGGGUUGUAAACUUCUUUUAUAUGGGAAUAAAAUGUUCCACGUGUGGGAUUUUGUAUGUACCAUAUGAAUAAGGAUCGGCUAACUCCGUGCCAGCAGCCGCGGUAAUACGGAGGAUCCGAGCGUUAUCCGGAUUUAUUGGGUUUAAAGGGAGCGUAGGUGGGUUGUUAAGUCAGUUGUGAAAGUUUGCGGCUCAACCGUAAAAUUGCAGUUGAAACUGGCAGUCUUGAGUACAGGAGAGGUGGGCGGAAUUCGUGGUGUAGCGGUGAAAUGCUUAGAUAUCACGAAGAACUCCGAUUGCGAAGGCAGUUCACUGGACUGCAACUGACACUGAGGCUCGAAAGUGUGGGUAUCAAACAGGAUUAGAUACCCUUGUAGUC
rnacentral:rRNA from 1 species